UGCGGCUUUACAUUUCUUUGUGAACAGGUGGUCUUCCAGAGGGUCACCAUGUAUAUUUAGUAUCUGAAACUUGAUCGAAGCCCAGCCUGAUUGGCUCCUCCAACCACAUGAUAAUUUAGGAGCUGGUGCAUCAGACUAAAGCUGCUUUUGCCCAGCGUUUCUCAGGAGGAAGGACAGUUGGAGAGGCUUUGCUGCUAAGGAAAUUUAUUUAAAGAUUGCUGGUUUGAAGAUAACAUAAGGAAAAGACCCACAGAAGUAAACAAAGGGAGCAUCUGUAAAGGCCAAUGGUGGGAAGAGAGACAUUAGCUUCAUUCACUUGAGUGAGUAGGUGAGAGCCACUCCGCAAACAUGGCAGAAGUAGAAGAAUAUGAGGAGGUGGUGGAGUACUACAUUGAAGAAGAGGUCAUUGAGGAGGGUGAACCGGGCGAGGUAAAAAGCCUCUCUGUUUUGUGCUCAUACCUCAUAUUUUAUGCUUCUUUAAUGGGAGGUGUUUUGUUUUUUGUUUUGGUGUGUGCAUAAUACUGAAUAAUCUCAUAGCAUUUCUAUAAUCCAAUAGGAUAUCAAAUCCGAAAACAAGAUACAUGGCUUGUUUUAUCCGGAUUAGGACACAGUGUUCAAAUAUGUUUUUCC
rnacentral:lncRNA from 11 species